UCAGCCUCUUUACGGUGCUGCCUUGUGGCAUCUUGAUCAAGCAGCAUUGUACAGGGCUAUGAAGGC
ensembl:miRNA dre-mir-103 microRNA 103a-2